rnacentral:rRNA from 1 species
CCUACGGGUGGCAGCAGUGGGGAAUAUUGCGCAAUGGGCGAAAGCCUGACGCAGCGACGCCGCGUGAGGGAUGAAGGUCUUCGGAUCGUAAACCUCUGUCAGCAGGGAAGAACGGUCACUGUGCUAAUCAGCAGUGAAUUGACGGUACCUGCAAAGGAAGCACCGGCUAACUCCGUGCCAGCAGCCGCGGUAAUACGGAGGGUGCGAGCGUUAAUCGGACUUACUGGGCGUAAAGCGCUCGUAGGCGGUAUGUCAAGUCAAGGGUGAAAUCCCCGCGCUCAACGUGGGAACUGCCUUUGAAACUGGCAGACUGGAGUGUGUGAGAGGAUAGUGGAAUUCCAGGUGUAGGAGUGAAAUCCGUAGAUAUCUGGAGGAACAUCAGUGGCGAAGGCGACUACCUGGCACAUGACUGACGCUGAGGAGCGAAAGCGUGGGUAGCAAACAGGAUUAGAUACCCCUGUAGUC